GACGAACGCUGGCGGCGUGCUUAACACAUGCAAGUCGAACGGAAAGGCCCUGCUUGCUGGGUGCUCGAGUGGCGAACGGGUGAGUAACACGUGGGUGAUUUGCCCCUUACUUUGGGAUAAGCCUGGGAAACUGGGUCUAAUACUGGAUAGGACCAUGCUGUAGGUGGUGUGGUGGAAAGAUUAGUUUCGGUGAGGGAUGAGCUCGCGGCCUAUCAGCUUGUUGGUGGGGUAAUGGCCUACCAAGGCGUCGCCGGGUAGCCGGCCUGAGAGGGUGGACGGCCACAUUGGGACUGAGAUACGGGCCAGACGCCUACGGGAGGCAGCGGUGGGGGAUAUUGCACAAUGGGCGCGAGCCGGAUGCAGCGACGCCGCGUGGGGGGUGACGGCCUUCGGGUUGUAAACUCCUUUCAGCCAUGACGAAGCCCUUGUGGUGACGGUAGUGGUAGAAGAAGCACCGGCUAACUACGUG
rnacentral:rRNA from 1 species